UGUGCUUCUCAUAAUUCACCUGCUGUGAAU
rnacentral:piRNA from 1 species